rnacentral:rRNA from 1 species
UGAGGAAUAUUGGUCAAUGGCCGAGAGGCUGAACCAGCCAAGUCGCGUGAGGGAUGAAGGUUCUAUGGAUCGUAAACCUCUUUUAUAGGGGAAUAAAGUGGAGGACGUGUCCUUUUUUGUAUGUACCCCAUGAAUAAGCAUCGUCUAACUCCGUGCCAGCAGCCGCGGUAAUACGGAGGAUGCGGGCGUUAUCCGCAUUCUUUUGGUUUAAAGGGUGCGUAGGUGGUGAUCUAAGUCAGCGUUGAAAGUUUGUGGCUAAACCAUAAAAUUGCGGUUGAAACUGGGUUACUUGAGUGUGUUUGAGGUAGGCUGAAUGCGUGGUGUAGCUGUGAAAUGCAUAGAUAUCACGCAGAACUCCGAUUGCGAAGGCAGCUUACUAAACCAUAACUGACACUGAAGCACGAAAGCGUGGGGCU